UGUUUCCGGUUCCGGCUCAGGCUAGGGUCACGGGGUCGGGCCGAGCUGCGACCAGACCCGGCCCGGCUGCGAGCUCGAGCUCCCCAGCGCGCGUGAGGGCAGGCACCCGUCCUAACGGUUGUUUCAGUUACAGUAGUACUAGGAGGCCCCAGUUAUUCUAGAAAAUGGAAAGGAGAAAAGAAGCAACUGAAGACUCCAACUGAGGCUCCAACCUGCAGCAUUGCCGACUUUGCCAGAUCCCUUCUAAAGAUUCAUUCAGCAUUCUUUGGAGCAUCAAGUCUUGGCCAGCCCUGGAGAACUGCACGAUUCAGUGGACUUGUAAUUUUCUAAGUCAACUUUAUGUACAACCAUUCUUCUGUUUCCAAAGGCAGCAGCUGAAGGUAUGAGAGCUUCCCAAACACAGCUGGGUCUGUUAUCUUGCAUUGAAGCCUGAGUGGUUACAUACAAGUCAGCAGCCCUCUCUGUCUGCACUUGCAGCUUAGGGAUAGGCUGUCUUUCUGUGUGUUCAGUCUUAUGUUUAUU
rnacentral:lncRNA from 1 species